UGUUGAGUGCAGAUUUGUUCAUAAUAGACUCUAGUGGGAAAGAAAGGAAGGAUUACUUAACGUGGAAUGAAAAUGAAUUGAAAACGUUCAAGGAAAUGGUUAUUGAACACAAUAUAAAUUGUCGAUUAGACGAUAUGUUCCUCUUGAGCUUCCUUAGAUCCAGAAAGUUCGAUAAAGAAAGAGCAAUUAAAUUAUUAAAAAAUUAUUACUCUACGAGGAAGAAGUAUCCACAUAUAUUCGGGGAAUUUAAUCCUGUGGCCACUAAGAAGUAUCUUGACACGAAAAUUGUUUCGUUUCUACCCCACACGGAUCAAGAUGGUCGAGUUGUGGGAUUGGUCCAAGUCCCCUACUGGGAUCCUUCGAAUGUACACAUGAAAGACGUUUUGAAAUGCCUGUUAAUGUAUCAAGAUGCGGGACUAACAGGACAUUUAAUUCAAGUCAACGGUUUGGUAGUAAUUUGGGAUGCUAAAACAUUAUCGUGGAGUUAAAUGUAAAACAGUAUCGUUUUACAAUUAACUCCAAGCACAAUAUUUUGCAUGACUUCUCUUUUAUUUACAGCCAUUCCAAUUAGAUAUAAGGAAAUUCAUGUUGUAAAUAUUGGAAAAUUUGGAUAUCUUUUUUACAAUGCAUUACGACCGUUUCUUCCGUAUAAAAUUAGAAAAAGGAUCCAUAUACAUAGUUCUGAAAUUGAAUCUCUGCACAAAUUCAUCGAUUCUCAAUUUCUUCCCGAAGAAUAUAAAGGCGAUUUACCUCUUCACGAUCCAGCUGAGUGCAUUGAAGUUAUAUUAAAAUUCCAGGAAUAUUUUGAAGAUAGUCAAAAAUAUUACAGCUGAAAAGAAAAAGAAUUGAAUCGUUUCAGCUAAGAAUUCGUCUAAUUAUUGUAUAAAAUAAUAAACUUUAUCACUAUCCUGGUAUAAUGUAUGUCUAGUAUUUUAUGUAAUUUUUCAAUUUAAUAAAAUUGAUA
rnacentral:misc_RNA from 1 species